rnacentral:misc_RNA from 1 species
GAGAAGAACGUAGCGAAAUGCGAUAAGUAAUGUGAAUUGCAAAAUUCAGUGAAUCAUCGAAUCUUUGAACGCACCUUGCACCCUUUGGACUGCUCCAAAGGGUAUGCUCGUUUGAGUGUCAUUGUACUCUCACACUCUCUGAUCCUUUGGAUUUGGGGAGCAGUGGACUUGGGUGCUUGCUGCUUCCUUGUGGCUCACCUGAAAUGCAUCAGUGCAUCUCUCGAUUGGACAUAGUACGGCGUGAUAAGUGUCUUCGCCGGCACCUCAUAUGAGGGUGGCCGAUCGGGAGCUCUGUGCUUUCAAACCGUCUUCGGACAACGCUGACAACUUGACCUCAAAUCGAGUAGGACUACCCGCUGAACUUAAGCAUAUCAAUAAGCGGAGGA